AGUUAAAAUUUUUAAUUAUUUCUAUUAUUAAAAACCGGUGUGGUUAACAAAAUAAUUAGAUAAUUACAUAUAGUAUGUCACGUGUACCUCAUGUUGAUGUAAAAUGACCAAUUUUUAACAGUAAAAAUAGAUAAAAGUUUUAAUA
rfam:Gossypium raimondii Chr03_contig_1027, whole genome shotgun sequence.